GUGUCACCGCCAGCCACACGUGCGUGGAGAGCGAUUGGAAGGUGGAGAAGGGUUUGGAGCCGUCGGAUGGGGUUUUGUUGAGCGUGGACUUGAUCUGGUUGAUUUGAGAUUCCGAGAAUCGGAAGAUACGCUCACGGAGAAGCGGCGGUGGCCCCGCCGUGCCGUUCGGAGGGGCGGCUGCGGGGUUGAGAGGGAGGUCGAGCUUCACGCGCGUUUUGCGCGCUUUGGUGCGCUCGAGGAACGGUGGGACGGAGACGGAGUCGGCUCCGUUGCAGAUCUCGGCCCACGAGGUCAUGAAGUGCCACGUGGAGGUACCGUCGAGGAUCGCGUGGUUGAAAGCGCAUCCCAGUGCGAGUCCAUCUCUUAGCUUGGUGAACUGCGGAUCAUGACAGAAAAAUAAUUAGUUGGCUCACGGUAACAGACUCAAAAUUGGAGCCACGUGGAGGUUCAAGGGACGGUAACAGUGAGUAAUUGUCAUAAAUGCAUCUGUGGAUGCUUGCAUACUCGCGAAAGUAGUCUGUAGCUUCGGACUCGCUCUAGUAGACUGAAACCUGGAUUCUCCGUUUUCCAAUGCAAAAUGAAUGGCAGCUGGCACAUCUAAGUGUUUGAAACUUUUAUCUAGAGCAGUGCGUACGGGUAUUACCUAGAGCUGAACCUGCCUUUAUGACACUACCGUGGGCGCGAUACACCCAACCAUGCCUCCACCUUCAAAGCCUCAAAUUUUUACUUAUUUAUUUAUUUGUUUUAAAUUCAUUUAUUACCCAUUCUAUCAUAAUUAGAAAGAUAAAAAGAUAAUAAAAUAAAAUUAAAUUAAAAUGGGCUUUUAGGCCCACAACAAAGGCCCAAAAAAUUUCAUAAAUCAAAAAUACCCAUACCAUCAAUUUCUCAAAAAAGCAUAAGAAUAAAAUUAGGCAUGCCGUCCUUGUAUUAAUUGAAGUAGUUGAAUAACCUAGGAGGCUAGGACACGAAAUUUUCUUCUAGUCCAUGCUUUUCAACUAUUAGGAGAUCAUUCUUUUUGUACUAAAGAGGCAUAUAUGACUACUUUGAAUACAACAUUACGAGUAUGAAGUUUGGUAAGUGACAUGCCCCUACAAAGAUCCCAAAAAGGGAGAGUUCAUAAUAAAUAUUAAGAAUUUUAAAAUAAAAAUAAAAUAUUAUGUUCUUAAAUAUGCACAAAAUUAAACAAUUCCCAGCUUUAUCUUAACUAAUUUAUACCAUAUUAUAUAAAUAUUAUGCCAAAGGAUACGAUCUCUCCAUUCUCUGAUCAAAAACGUUUUCUAAAAUCAUUAUCAAACGUCAUUUUAAUCGAUAAUGUGAUAGAUAAUUUCUCGACUAUUAAUGAUAUAUUUGAUUUGGGAAAAAAAGAAAAAAAAAUACAAGGAAUAAUGUAAGUUUAUAUUUAGGAGAAAGAAGAAGAAGAAAUAAAUGUCCCUCUCCACAAAUGGAUCUACAUUUUGAUAUGAGACCUUGGUUUUAAGGUGGUGAAGUACAAUAAAUUCAUGGACAAUCAGCUUGGUAGGUGGGUAAAAUAAUGGGGAGAUGAUUACCUUCUUCUUAUCAUUUCUGUUUGGUUGGUGGGAUUUAGGAAACAUGACAAAAGAGAAAAUAAGUUAGAGCUGAUGCUAAUUUUUUUCAUUAAAUUUUCUCAUCAUACAAAGAGAGCAGAAAAUGAAAUUAAAUAAAUGAAUUUCAUUUGUAAUUUCCCAAAAAUUUUGUAUAUUAAUGUUUUAGUAAAUAAAAAUUUAAAUGACUUGAAGGCAAUGAAACAGUUCUGACAAUAAUACAUUGUCCUUCCCUAAAUAAACCCAACAAAUUUAAGGGCACCCCUAUAAUUUUAGGCCUGAUUUGGACCAAAAAGAGAAGAAAAAUAAAGAAAAAUUCAAUGCAAUAGAAUAGAAAAUAAAUAAAUUGUUACCUGUAGGACCAGGAGGGGUUUAUGAAGACCCUCAAAGUUCAAGACUUGGGUGUAUGGCACCAUAUCCUUCAUCAUGCUUGUGCACUCCACAUCUGUUAGAUCAGAGACACUGAUCUGAUCAGCACUUGCUUCCAACACUUCCACACCCUCCAUUUCAUCAUCAUACACAACCUUAAAGACCCCAUCUUCGUCCUUCUCAAGCUUCCCAGCCAACUGAUAAAACUCUUCCAAAACUACCCCUAACCCAUCCUUCAAUCUACCCACCAUGUCCUCAAAGUCAGACCCCUUGUAGAAUAGCAGCUUUUGGUUAUAGUAAAAGGCCAAAUAUGGGAGAUCAAAUGUGAUCAACUGACACUCUCUUCUCCCAAGCUUCUUAGUGGGCAUAAUGUGGGACUUUCCAUGGACAGACACCUUCACAACCUCAUCUUCCUCCUUCUUCACAACUUGAUCAGCUGCCAUGGUUGAUGAGAUGAAGAACCCUAAAAGCAAAGGAGAGAGAGUAGAGGUUUGGGGAGUGAAGAGAGAGGGAUUAAGGGAUAUACUUAUAGGGGAGUUUUCAUUUGAUAUGGUUGGAAGGUGCAUUUAUGGAAUGCAUGAGAGCAGUUGUAGGCCAUUUAAUGGCUCUUUUUUCUCCUCUGUUAGUCUGGGUGGAAGUUGAGUAAAGACGCUAUGGAAUGGCUGAGCACAGCUCCACUUUCUCUCUCUCAGAGCCUUUAAUGUAAUUUCACUAUCUUCUUUUUGAAAAGAAACAAAAUCUCAAUUAAGGCACCCUGGGCCAGUGGCUUUGACAAUCGUUACAAAGAAACAAGUUUUUGGGGGCACUUUCUAGCUAUAAAACUUUUUAGUAGACAAUAUUCUGCCCAAGAGAAAACCCAAAUCAUUCUUGAAUUUCAAGGCUCAAUUUGACCUAACCAUAACUCCCUGCAUUUAAAAGAUUGAUACGUGGUGGGAAAUACCCGUAAUAUCAUUUAUAAUGAUCUGUUUUCUAAAGCAUAGGUAUUAUCGACUUAAGAUAUAAGUUCAUACAUGUUGUUUUUAUGUAAAAUUUCUAAUAUGACUCGUAAGGAACUUUUUUUUUUGUUUUUAUAUUACCUUUUAAAAGUUAUGAUUUUGUCUUUAACUUCAACUUCUAAUAGUCAAAACUACGAAACUAACCAAACCAGAACUUAGAAAAAUAUCGAAAAUUUCUUUUCUUAAUAGACAUGAAAUCUUGUACCAAGGUUUCUAAAUUACCUUUAUGCCCCAAGUUUUUCCACAAUAAUUAGUCCUAGUCUCUUAGAAGAAGAAAUUUGAUUUUGAUAGGACUAUGUAUGCUUUUUCAAAAUUGGGGUUGAGUGAACCAUUGACAGGAACCUCAUGGACAUAGAAAAAGUUCCCAAAUGUGACCUUCAUCAAUCCAUUGCCAAAUGCAGACCUAAAAUUGAUGAACCCAUGAGGUUGUAAAAUUAAUAAGUUGUGAAAAGUGGUUGACAGUGUACACUUUCUUUGUUAAGAAUUUUUCAUUUUGGGAGUAGGGAAAACACAUGGAGAGAAGUAUUGAGUUGCAUGGGUAAAAGGGCCAUCCCCAACUUCAUUUGCAGCUAAUUUUCAUGGGCUUGAACCAAUUAAAAUUACUCAUCUUUAUGGUCAUGGGGGGCUGAGGGGUUGUUGAGGUUUAAAUGUGUCCCUUCCGACUCCUUCUCUGAAUGACUCAGUAUGCAACUUAGUGUGAACUACUUUAGAAUUCAUUUCUUGUCUUGGAAGAGGCUGUCAUGUGUGAUUCAUUUAUGCCACUUUGGAUCCUGUUUUAUUGGUUUUUAAAAGCUAGAAUGCUUUCAUUUCUUUUAAGAGAUUUUAUUUUGUGGGCAUUUGGGAUGGUUGUUAAUUUUUUUGGUCUGCAUUUGUAGUAGUAUGAUAAUCAAAAGUUAGAUAGUGUUUUUAUAUGUAUUAUGCUUGAGCGAUAAUGUCAAGUUACAUGAUCGGUAUAGUGAAAUUUAGACUAUUAUAUAAAGAUACAAACAAAUGAGAUUAGAGAGAGUGCACAUAUGACACUGUCUGAUUGAUGGUGUUUUCUCCAUAUUGUAUUGAAAAAACAAAAAUACGUUUUUUUUUUCGUAUCCGGCUUUAAAAAAGCAAAAAACAUGAACAUCUCUUAUUUUUCAAAAUAAAAUAAACCACAUAAAGAAGUAAGAAAAAAAAAAAAACCUAUCAUGAGAAGAUUUUACCCGUCUUAUUUAUUUAUUUUUUUAAGGUGUGUUACUUAAAACAUAGUUUUAAAAGGAUGAUCGUAAAAAUAUGAGUAGCAUUUUGAUAUUAUUAAUUUAAAAUAAAAAUUUUGGUUUAACUUCAAAUUUGACAUUAGGGUCAUUAAAAUAGAGGUAAAAUGUAGAUGUGAAAUUAAAAAUAUUUAUUUGAUAUUCCUAAUUAAUGAAAAUAGCAUUAUUUUCAAUUAAUGGUUCAUAUGAAAGGGUUCACUUCAAGGGACCUCCCACAUCUACCCCAUCAAUGCUAUUUAACAUUAAGAAGAUGGUGCCCUCUCUUUGGGUGGAUGGGUCAUGCACUCUAUAGGUAAUGGAAAAUGACUUGUUAUUCAUUGACAAUUUGACAUACAAGGCUACACCUACAUCUUGGAAUUUCAAUUUCUUCUUCAUUUCUUAUAAUGGAAUUUGAAUAUCAAAAUUUAUGGUGCAAAAAACAAUAAACAAAAUUGAAUUUGGGUCCUUAAAAUAAUAAAUAACUAAAUAAAUAGCUUUCUUGAUUGAGAAUUGACAUGUCAUGUGGGAUUUUUUUGGCCCUAUUGCUUCUUGCCAUUACUACAUGACUUUAGACUAUAGUUGCUUUUUGAAAAUAAAUUUAAAAAGGGGAUAUUAAUUAUGUAAUUUUUUUUCUCUUUGGUUAAAGAUGAAGGGUCUAUUUGGUAAUUAUUUUGAAAAAAUAGUUUUUGAGAACAAUUUUUGAAAACUAUUAUUUAAUUUUUGUAAAACAAAAGUUUGUUUAAAAACUUAAAUUUUUUUUAACUUAUUUAAUAUUUUAAAAUAUGUUUUAAAAAGAAAUUUUAUAUCUAAUUCUAUAUAUUUGUAAAAUUAUUUCUUAAAACAACCCUCAAAAAACAAGUAAAAAUAAUAUAAAACAAUUAAGAGAUGUUCUCUGAAAACAUUUUGUUUUCUAUUCUAAAGAUUACCAAACGUGUUUUCUCUAUUUUUUGUUUUGAAAAAUAGAAAAUUAUUCUAAUAAAUAUUUCUCAAACAAGUUCGAAAAUUCUCAAUUUUUUUUUAUAAAAAAAUCAUAAUGUCAUAAUAAUCACAUUGACAUUUAGUGGUAUGUUUUCAAGAAAUGGUUUUUAAAAAUCAAAUUUAGUAAUAUUUUGGGGUGUAAAGUAUUUAUUGCUUGUAGUUAAUGAACCAAUAAAUCACAAAAUAUAUGAUAUUGUUUGUUAAAAUUCUCAAAUUUAAUAUAGCUUUUUAAUUCAGUUUAUUUAUAUACUCUAUCAAACUGAUGAUCAUUUGUAUGCAUUUUCACUUUCUAUUUUUAAAUAGAAAACAUAAUGAUAACAUUUUUUUUUCUAACAUUAAUUUAUGCUUCAAAAAAGGCAUUAUUAUCAAGUUUUGUGUAGUGGGAUAAGGGAUAUUGUUGAGUAUUUAAACCAAAAAUAAGCACCAAAAAAAAAAAUCAAAUCUUUUUUGUUAAAAAAAUUAAAUUUUAUUUUUUAAAAUAAAAAUAUAAGGCCCGUUUAGCCAUGUUUUCUAAAAUUAUUUUUAAGUUAAUAACAAAAAACUGUUUUUAAAAAUAAGUUUUAAAAAAAAGGUCAAAUGGGCCAAUAUUUUCCUUUUGGUUUUUAAAAAGGGUGAAAAAUUUUCCUACUUACUCUCUAAAAAUUAUUAUCUAUUUCAUUUUAUUUUUAAAAUUUAUUUCCAAAAAAUAAUAACCAAUCAAUGUUAGAAAUUUUUAAAAACAACUUAAUAUUUUUUAAAACAAAAAAUUGUUUUUAAGUCACACCAUCAAAUCAGGCUCAUAGACUCAUGAAAAUUGUUGUUUGAAGUUUUGUAAAAAUAAAUAAAUAAAUAAAAGUUUGGAACUUGAAAUGUUUUUGUCUUAUUUUUUAUAUUUUUAAAUAUUUUUUUUUAAAAAAAUUAACUUUUAUAAACAAGUCAAAAACUACUAAAAAUGUUAUAAUAAACACCCUGUCUCCGAUUUUUUCUUUUCCUAAUUACCAAAUAUGUUUUCUUUUAUCUUUUUAUUCUCAGCAUCUAAUAAACCAACAUAGUGUUGAUAUUCUUUUGUCAAUAUUUUUUUUUUCCUAUUUUUUGUUAUGUUAUUGGUAACCGACUAUUUAUUAAGCACAUGGCUCCACUUGAAAUGACCUUAUUUGAAAAUUACACAUUAAUUAAUGGUAUCCAAACCUACUAAGAUUUUGACUUGCCAACAACUCAUUAACCAAAAACUCAAACUAUUUUCUAUGUACGUACUUUCUUUCAUGGAAUCCUUUUUCCUCGUUGCCCAUGGAUAGCAACCACUAUAUAUUGAAAAGGGAACGUCAGCUCAAUAUUGAUAGCAAUAGAUCACCAUGGAAAUUGCCUACCACUCUUCUAUUUCUCACAACCUUGUUUCUUCCAAAAUAAAACAAAAAAAAAAAAUGAUAAUUGCUUUCUAAUCUAUGAAAAAAAUUUGGAAUACUAAGGUAAUUUUUAAGUCUUGAAUCAUUUUACGGUAAUAUUUUAAUGAUUCUUUUUCUUGUUUAUAUAUAUUUUAUCUCAUAAAUUACUCGAAGUUUGGUUUUCGAGAUUGUUAAUAUGAACAAGGGAAAAAUAGGUUUUGAUUCACUAAUUUGAAAAAAUAUAGAAAAAUGAAUCUCGACUUUUAUAAAUUAGUUUUAUCUUCAUCCAUUUAAAAAUAUUUUAAAAUAUAUGCACUUUUCAUAAGUCAGACAAUUAUUUCCUAAAAUACCCUUUUACUUGAUAAUGUUAAAUAAAAUUAUCAAAAAAAUAUCAUUUUAAUUUGAUAAAAAUAUCUUAUAAAUAAAAGUAUAUGACAAUAAGUUUUAGUUGAAACAUACGUAUUUAUUUCAAACAUGUAUUUUCCUACUAAAAUCUUUACAAUGCGAACAAAUAUAGGUCAUAAGUCUAAAUAGAGAGGAUGCCCAAAACGUUCUCGUGUUAUGCUUGUACAUUUAAAUGUUUAUGAGAUUAUGAAAUAAUAAAAUUAGUAAUAAAAGUUUAGCUAACCUAUGGUUAUUUGAAGAUUGUAACCAAUUUUUUUAUAUGAAGUAGGUAAGUGAUGAGAGGUGGGUUUAAGCAAUAAAUGAAAAAAUUCAAUUACCUGAUAAAAACAAUACAUGUGAGCCAACUACUCGACAAGUUGAAAAGAAACAAUCUAUUAGUAUUAAAUGAGUUUAUAAGAUGAAGUACAAACUCGAUGGUAAAGAUAAUCAAUUUUAGACUAGAUUGAUGGCAAAAGGCCACAAAUAGUAGGUAUCUAUAAUUUUUAAGUUCUUAUACUAGUUGCCAAACUAAACAUCAUUAGCAUAAAAAAUUGAACUUGUAAUUAAGAAAAAGUGAAAACUUCACUAAAUGAAUGUUAAAUGAAGAAAAGUUUUUAUUAAACAAAAUAAGCAAGUUUACAAACUAGAAAAUGUAUUAUUUUAGUUAAAGUAAAUGUCACAUACUUGGUAUAGGCGGAAUGAGAUAUUUAUUUAUUGUAGCAAAGUUUUCGAAAGUGUUCUUCUAAUCAUACACUCUGCACAAAAGUUAAAUUCUUAUAGUGAUAUAAUUGUUAUAUACCUAUAUAACAUUAUUUGAUUUUUAUAGGAAAUCGUCAAGAGAUGAUUGAAGAUUUCAAAGGGAUGUUUGAAGAUUUCAAGGAGAUAACGAUCCAAUAAUUUAAGAUAAUAAAUUUGGUACUAAUGUCCUAUUUUCUUAAAAAUCGAGGCCCAAUAGGAUAAUGAUAUCUUUAUCUUACAGAACAAGUGUAUCAUACACAUUUUAGAAUGAUUUAUGAUCAUUAGUAAUAACUUGCACUCCUACUACAAACUGAUUAAAAAUAAAAAAUAACAAAAUAAAGGACAAAAUAAUUAAUAAAUUUCACAUAUUUCAAAAUCGUAGUAGGAACUCUUUACUAUUUUAUUUCUACUGGAUCGAAUAUGCUUUAAGAGUAGAAAUUACUAGUAGAUUAAUGAAAAGAAAUAUAUGUUACAUUUGUGAGCAGUAAGUUUAGCAAUGACACUUGUGAUCAUGAAAUUUUAUACUCCUAUUUGAGCAACUUCAUUUUGGUGUGCGACAAGGUUAAUAAUUAGAGCAACUUUGAAAUAUGUCGAGCAAUUUAGCUUUAUAGGAUACUUAGUAAGUUGAAAUAUCGACAAAAAGAUCCUAUAAAGAUUUUGUAUGAUAAUAAAUUUAUUAUUGCAUUGCCAAAAAAUUUGUUGUUUUAUGAUAAAGGCUAACACAUAUGCAUCAAGUUUGAUUACAUUAAAAAACUUGUGAAAUCAAGCUCGAGUUUUGUGGAACAAAUUACAGAUAUUUUUAUAAAACUACCAAUAUAGAACAUAUUUGAAAAAUUAAAGAUGACAUAAGAUGUAAUUAGCUUUAAAGUUCGGGUUAAGGAAAGUUAUUGAAAAAUUUUAAGAAUUAUUAUUUAUUUAGGUUUUUAAUAAUUCAUAUAUAAUCAAUUUAUUAUAUAUAUAUAUAUAUAUUGAAAUAAAUUGUGAAAUCCAAUAUAAAAAUUGGUGACAUUAUUUUUAAUAAUAAAAAUGAAAAAUAAAAUAAAUUAUUUUGAUGAGCAAGUGGGUGGACCCUGGUCCAUAAUCUCCUUCACCACAAGGGUUCUCCCUCUAUUAAUGGUCAUGAAACAUAAGUAUAAAUGCUCUUCUAGCUCAUCUAGCUGCUGGCUAAAGUUAGAGUCAUUCUCCUUCAGCUGGCGCGCCACUUCUCCACUGGCUUGCAGGUUAUCCUCUUUAUGCUCCAACCAAAACCUAACCAUUCCACUUAUAUGCUCCAGCUCAUUGUUUAGCCUGGCCACAAGCCGGCUUAUCAUGUCCAUAUCCUUGUUCAGUAUGUAAGUUCCUUUGGCAGCUGCGUCAAGCUGAGCCGACCGCCUGGCUAAUUUCCUAGUCGAGGCUAACUCAAAUGAAGCCGCUAUGAGACCUGGUGCAGCCACCAACAUUGCUAAGGCGUGAGUUGUGGCGAUUACAGCCACCGAAGCCGUUAGCGCGACAAGCAAAAUAGCUGAGCCGCAUUUUAUGCUUUUGACGAGCUGGAGCUUGGCUCGAGCCUUGUCACGUCCUAACUCUAACCGCUUGAGUAAGCCAGAGCAGCCGGUUUGGAUGACCCGAACCCGAGCCAAUAUUACUGGAAAGCGGUUUACGGGUAGUAACUCAGUGGCUCCAUGAGAUUCCAGGGUGGAUUUCAAGGAUCGGUACCAAACACGUAUACGGUUAAUAUCCUUUAGCAGAAGGCUACACAGGAAAGAAGCGUUAGCCGUUUCAGAAAAGUAUUCGGCUAGAAUAGAGUGGUUUUUGGGUCUGCUUUGAGCCAAAGCCAAUAGUUGAGUGACAGUGGGUUGGUCCGGAUCUAAGAGAUAUUCAGCGAAGAGCCGGUAGGAUGAGAGCCGAGCCGCAGUGGUGGACUCUAUGGGAAUUGACGUGGCGCUAUCUCCAUGGGUUAGAGUAAGGACACGUGUCCAAAACUCAAUGUAUGAUUCAGUGCGGAAGGCAUUAGCAUAUUCUUCGCGAUAAUCCACAUAAUUAGGAAGAUUAGGAGGGUUGGAUCCGGAGACUGCAUGAUAAAAAACAAAAUGGGAUAUCACAAUCUUUUAAUUUGUCACAUCAUACUAUGUUAAAUUACAACCCGACAUCAACAAUUUAAUCCAAAAACCAAUUAAUGUUUGUUAAAAAUACGGUAAAUCUUUUAUGAUAUUCUGCAUCGCACCUCAUUGAUUUAUUUUAAUAGACAUUAUUUAGGUGGUCCAUUUCCCGAUUUAAAAACGAUUCUUAUAACUCAAACUCAUUACCCUUAACCUAAUAUCAAUUAUUGGAUCGGGUUUUGAUCGAUUUUUUACUCCAAUACUAGUUUUUGGAUCAAACUUUCACUAUCUAAUAUAACUAUCAAUUUGCAUUCAACAAAAAUAAAUCAAACCUUUUAUAAUAUUCAACAUAACAAUCAACAGUCGUAUUCUAAGGGUACACCCAAAAGGACAUUACUAUAUCAAAAAAUUAGGAUGUUUUCAUAUACUAAAUUAUCACAUUUCCUCAAAACGAAAUUACUUUCAACUAUUGAAUACCACUCUAAUAGUGAAAAAUAUAAUUAAUGAAUCACAUGCAUAGAAAAUCAUACCAAAGUACUUGCCCUAUCCAUGAUAUAAAGUCUUAACACAAAUUAGGGCAAUCAACUUCUGAAAAAUGGGCACAUGGUACAUACCAUGGGACACCCUGUUCUUCAGUACAGGGCUUCAAUGGCAUUAGUGGUGAUGUGAGACUACUCCUAGACCCCUGUUCUCUCUUUUCUUUCAUUCCGACUAUCUUUGGAAGACAUGGGGCUGUGGGGGAUUCUGGUUGUUGGGUUAUGCUAACCCUAGCCAUUCUCAAUCAAUGCUCUUAACUUCACUCAUGUUGGACCAAUUUCUAUUUCUCACAUUUUGUACCCACUAAAUUUCUAGGGUAGAUGUGGCCUGUUUGGGCUUAUUUUGGGUUCUUUUUUAGCUCCCUAGGGCCUAGCCAAUUUGCCACUUUUUCUAUCAUUUUAGAAAUGACAAUGAUUUUUUUUUUUCCAAAAAAGAAAACAUUUUUAGUAUAUUUUUCUUUAUUGGAAGUAGAUGGUAAUUUAGAACUAUACAAUUUAUUCUACAAUAAGAUAAAAUAAUUUUAAUAAAAACUAGUGUUGAACCUACAUUUCACCAAACAUGAAUUUGUUGAGUUGAAAUAUUAAAUCGAUGUAAUUUAGAAAAAUAAUUAUAACUUAAGACUAUGUUUCGUCUAUGAAAAGUAUUAAAAAAAGAAAAAAGUUAUUAAUUUUUUUUCUUAAAAUAACUUUUAAUAGAAGGGACUUCAAGAUUUAUUUUAAGGGAACAAGGGAAUAAAUUUUUUAUUUCAAGUAGUUGAAAACAAAAUUUUAUUUAAAAUUUUUUAAUUUCAUAUUGUUAAAUAUUUAUAUUUUAAAAAUAUAAAUUAAAUUAUUGAUAUAUUCUGAAAAGGAUACAUUUUUUGAAAAAAUAUUUUUGAAAGAGUUUUCUAAAGCCUCCUAUUAGACAUGUAUAAAAAGAACCAUUGGUUUUUUUUUUUUUUUUUUUCUAUUUUUAAAAGUAAAAUUAAUAUUAUUUUCUGUGGUGAAAUAAAUCUAAAUAUCAAAAAGUUAUGAAACUGCCUCUAAGAAAAUAAUUGAGAUGAUUUUUUCUUUUCUAACCAUGAAAAGAAUCAGACACUACUUUGGGCCAUUUGUAUGGAUUAAAAUGGGCUCCUAUGGGCCUUUGUGGCCCAUUUAAAACUUUUUCAAUAGGAGUAUCUUAGGCCUUGGCUCCAUACGUGGUAGCCCAAAUCCUUGAGCCCACCCAGGCCUGUGAUGGUGGCAUGAAUGGGAGAAAAAUAAAGGCUAGUGUAGAUAAAAUAAAAUAUAAAUAAAAAAUGAAAGUAUAUAUUUUAAGGACAAAUUCAGUCUGUCAGUUUAUUAAGACCUUGUUUGGAUUGACUUCUAACAAGUAAAAAUAUAUUUUUUCAUCUCUUGACGUACAUAAAUUUAUCAAAAAAUUUAUUAUUUAAUAAAAAAACUUAAAAUAAAGGGUUAAUCGAUUAAAAGGGUCAUUAAAAACCUAAUUUUUGAAAUUCACCUUUUCAUCAUUUUUCUAGCUUUAUCUGGACAAAAAUAUUCUCGUAUUUUUCUCGUAAAAAUAACCACUUCUUUUAAAACCUACAUAUAAAUACUUGAAAUAUUAAAGGUCAUUUAUGUCAAAAAUUAAUUACUUUUCAAGUAAAAAUAUGAAAAGUUAAAUUUACAAAUUUGAAAAUUAUUUUAUCCCUUUUAAUCAAGUAAUUCUAAAUAAAAAUAAGCACAUAAUUAGUUCUUAUAAAAGCCCUGUUUUAAAUGAAAUAUAAAAAAAUUUUGAUUUAAAAUUAAAUUAAAUAAAAAUGAAAAAUAAAAGUAAAAAAACGAAGAAAAAAAUAGGUGUAAAAUCAAUAAUUUUUUCUACAUGCUAACCUAAACUUUUUUUUACUCAUUUUAGCUAUUUUAUAUAAAAAUUAAAUAAUUUAAAAAUAAAUAACUUUUUAACUAAUUUUAAUUAUAUAUUUUUUAUAACUAAACUAUAUACGAGAAAAUCACUAUCUUUAAUAUUUUUUUUUCCUUUUGUUUUUAUUGAUAUUUUCAUAAACCCAACAUAAUCAAAAUAUGAAAAUGAAUAAAUAAAUACAUGAAUAAAAAAAAAAAAUUGCAUACCAGAGCAUGAAAGGAAUUUUCGGAUGCAAAUGCUGAUUCUUUUCCUCAUUCUGCUUCUUCAAAUGCAAAAUUCAGGUCAGAGAUGAAGAAAAUUUGGCUUCAAUGGUUGGAUUCUACACAAGUCUGGAGAAGGAAGUGAAAGGAAAAUGGAAAAGGGCUCUUUAUAAACCAAGAAAAUAGUUUCUUGCUUUUGCUUGUGGGAAAGGUGAGCUUGAAGUGCAAGCCAAGGACUUGCCUACAUUUUGAUACUUACAAGGAAAAUGCAAAUAUUUGAUUAUUAUUAUUAUGAUCAUAUUUUCCGGGGAGUGAACUGUUUGGAAGGAUGGAAAAUUUUGUGGGAAAGCUUAUACACGUGGGAUAAUUUGUAUAGUUCUAGAAAACAUUAAUGUGCAAUCGAAGUCUAUGGAGAUAGAUUGCUUGUUUUAACCCACCACCCAUAAUAUUAUUUUCUUAAUUGAAUGAAAUAUGCCAUAAAAAGAAAAAUAAAAAAAAAUGAUUAAAAAGAAAAACUUAUCAUAAAAAAAGAUGAAGAAGCAAUAAACAUUCGAAUAAUGUAUAAAAUCUUGCUUACUAGAUCAAAUAUGGGAUAUUAGGUUGAAAGCGUUAAAUCAUAAAUCCAAAUACUAAGUGAGUAUUUGGUAAAUCAACUUAAUAGCUUAAAGUGAUUUAAUAAUUAAUUUAAGUUAUUAAGUAAAUUAAGUAUGUUUGAUAAAACAAAUUAAUGAUAUAACUUAAAAUAAAAAAUAACUUGAAGUAAUAAGUAAAAAUAAUUAACUUAUUAUUAAGUCUACAUCCCUAUUUUUACUUUUUUACCCUUAUUUGUUUUAAUUACUUCCAUAAUUUUUUUUACUACUCCACGACACCUUUAUUGUUACUUCAUCUUUUUUAUCCUAGUUAUAAUUUAUGAGGAUGAAUAUGUUAAUUUAAUGAUUUAAAAUAAAUUUUAAGUUAAUUUUAUCAAAUAACUUUAAUACUUAAAGUAAAAAUUAAAUAGUAAGUUUUAAGUCAAUAAGUUAAAUAAAAUUUAACUUAAAGUCAAUUUAAGUCAUUAAAUAAGUAUUAAGUCUUAACAAAUACCCCUAACAUUCACUUAGUAAAAAUAUAAAAUAUUUAAUUACUCAAGUAUUGGUUUGAUUAUAAUUUCUGUUUUUUAUUUUUAAAAUAGAAAAAAAUGAUAACUUUUAUAAAGAUGUGAAAACUAUCACAAUCUACAUAUAUUGAAAGAGUGAUAACAUUAAAAUUUAUUUACAAAAAUUGAAGUAUAUAAAAAAAUUACUAUUUCAAUUUUCAAAAUUUUCAAAAGUGAUUUUUAAACUAUAAAAUAAUUUAUUUUUAAAAAAUAUCUUACUUUUAUAUGGUAUAUAUUUUAAAAAUAAAAAGAAUAAAAAGUAUACUUGCAUUUAUAUACUAAUUUUAUAUCAUUAUUAAUAUUUACUCAUUUUAUUUUAAAAUAUGUUAUUUAUAUAUAAUUAAACUAUACCUCAACAAGAUAAAGAGGAAGAAAAUAAAGUUAGUAAUCUCACAUCAAUUAUUGAUGGUAUUUGUUCUUUGACUGAAUAGAAAAAGUCAAAAUAUUUAAUUUUUUUUAUUAAGUUAAAAGUAAUUGGUUAAUAUCAAUCAAUACAAGUAAAGUAAAUUUUUUAUCAAUAGAUUUAAUUUAGUCAUAUUGAUCGAUAUCAAAAGAUUACUUUUACUUAAAUUAAAAAAGUUCAAUAUUUUAUCUUUAUUUUAGAAUCAUUGCAAAAAUAUGAAUGAAAUAUAAAAAGUUCAAUAGCUUUGAAAACGAUAGAGGCAUCGAUGACUAUUAAUUUUAUACAUCCGUCAAAUUGAUGGACUAAAAUAAUAUUUUAGUACUUAAUUUUUAAUUUUAUCAAAUACCAUGUUAGUGGAUUAAUUUUUAAUUUUAUCAAAUUCCUUGUUACUUUCAAAUCACAAAUAGUUUACAAAAUUAAUUAAUUUUAAAUCUAAAAAUGAAUUGAAGUUUGUAUCAACUAUGUUUCCUAAUUUCAAACCUUAGUGAUUUAGGAAACCAAGUUUGUAUCAACUAUGUUUCCUAUUCAUGUCCACUUUCUAUUUUCUCUCAUGAGCCAAUUGGAUUACCAUCCAAAAAAAGUAAGAAAAUAAAUAAAUUACACAAAAAUAGAAAUUCUUAGUUUACACCAAAUCUAUGAUUCUAUCUAUAAAUAACUACUAGGACUCAAAUUUAGCUCAAGAAAUUUGAUGUUACUUUCUAUUUCUACUCAGAUUUCCGCUCUAUAUAUUCUCUAAAAUCCAAGGUUUUUCCAGUUUCUGGUUAGAAGAAGAAGAUGGUAAAGCUUGAAGAUAUGGAGGAUGUGAUGAUGAAGAAGGACCGCUGGGAGAAGUUUGAUGCCCUGGUAGAAGUAGCGUUCGUUGCCGGACGGCAAGAGGAGGACGAAGAACGAGAGAAGAAAAUGAGAGAAGAGAUGGAGAAAGCUGUUGCAUUCCUCUCCCUCGCCGCGAAGAAGCGUUGUAAGACCGUGCCGAGACCAUAUCAGCAGCCGAACAUGGAGCCACCUCCGGAGAUGCCGGAGAGAUUCAGAAGGAAGAUAAUGGAGAUGGGGGGAGACAAUGUGGCGUUUGUGAUCGAGAAGAUGCUGUUCGAGACGGACGUGAGCGCGGGGCACAACCGAUUAUCGAUGCCCAUGUGCCAAAUCAGGCAGGACUUUGUGACGAAGGAAGAGAGGAGGAGGUUGGACUCGACGGACGCGAACAUAAAUGGAGUGGAGGUGAUUCUGGUAGAACCGUCCUUGGAGGACGACGAAGUGAUGCUGAAGAAGUGGAAGAUGAAGAGGAACUCGAUUCUGUAUGUGCUGAUAAAGAACUGGAACUCUGUUGUGAAGAGGAAUGGACUGGGUGCAGGGGAUGUGGUUAGGGUUUGGUCGUUUAGGGUUGGGUCGAAGCUGGGUUUUGCCCUGGUUAGGGUUGGAGAUGAGGAACAUGAAGGCAAGAAAGGCAAGUCGACGGGGAAGAAGAAGAAGGAUGGUGGGAGUGGAAGUGGGAGUAAAGGGAAAGAAGUUGAAGACAAUGGUGGCAAUGAGACUUGGAUCCACUAGCCAUGCAUACGUGAUGUGUUCUUAGGGUCAUAUUUGUAAUUUGAGGGGUUUGUUUUUUUUUUUUUUUGGAAAAUUAUCUUACAUGGUUUUUGGGUCCUGUAAGAGUUAGGUCCUGCAAGGGUUUUUGAGUCCUGUUAAGUGUUAGGUCUUGUAAGGGUUUAUGAGUCAUGUUUGGGUUAAGUCACCAAAUUUCAUUGGGAAAAUUUAACUAUAAGAUAGUUCAAAUUUUCUCAAAUUUUCUCAUUUGUUUGCCUUUUUCUCCCAUAGCUCAUAGCCAUUUAUGAUCAUAAUAAUGUAUUAAUAUUGAAACCAAUGUGGCACGAUGGGGGCACCUCUAACUCUAUUAUUUUUGUAGUGAAACAUAGGUAUAUAUGACACAUCUUAUAAUAUAAAUAUAUUAAAAAUAUGAUGUAUUAUGAUAUGAUCAAUUUUAUUUUUUUAUUAAUUAUUAAUGUUGAUUUUUUAUUAUUAAAAUGUUUUCUUGAUAACUUUAUUACAAAGUAAAACAAUUCAAUAUUUACGAAAUCAAUAUAAUAAUAAAUAUAAUGACUUUGUUACUCUGUGCAACCCCUCAAUUCAAACCGAUGCUUGUUGUUGCACCAUGAAAGAUGUUGUAAAGCACGUAUGGAUAAUUGUCUAGACACUUAUGAAUAUUCAAAUCAAAACUGUGAAAGCCUAGAAAAAUACUUGUCUAGACACUUAUGGAUAAUUGUGAUACACUCAUUGACAUUCAGUUAAUAGCAAACCAAUCAUAUAAGAUACUUUUUUUUUGUUUAGUUGUUAUAUAUGUAUACUUAUGAGUUUUAUCAUAAGAAUCAUUGACAGUGAAAAUAGACUUAAUAUAUGAUGUUAAUUCAUUGAUAUAAUGUAUUAAUAUGGGAACCGAUGUGGCGUGAUGGGCACCUCUAACUUUAUUAUGUUUGUCACAUAUGCAUUGACCAAAUUAUAUAGAAAACUUAAUUAUAACACAUAUGCAUUAAACUUAUAAUACAAAUAUGUUAAAAUUAAUUAGGACAUGACCAAAUUUUAUUUUUUAAUAAUUAUCGCUAUUGAUUUUUUUUUAUUAAAAUAUUUUUUUAUAGUUGUUGUUAUUAAUUAGUAGUAUUAUUAUUAUGUUUGACUUUUAAAUCCUUUUCGGGACUUGUAAAAAUAGAUUCCUUAAGGGGACUUCUAAGCUACAUAUGACUUAAAUUAAAGAGUAAAAAAAUGUGAGUACAAUUUUAUUUUAUUUUUUGUAUGAAUUAAAGAAUAAAAAAGUAGUGGACAAAUUUUAAUAAAAAAUGUGAGUAUGAUUUUUGUGAUAUUCUUUAAAUUAAAGAAUAUAUAAUCUUCUGAUUCAACCUCUUGAGGAUUCAAAUUUGGCAAUUAUGUACUUUUGCUUAACUUAAUCAAGGGUUGACUAGGCUUGAUCUUGACUCUUCCACAUCAAUAGUUGAUUUGUACCAAAAUAUAUACUUAUAAAAACACUAAUGAUUGCGCUCUAGACUCGCAACGGGGACAAAUCACUAUUUAUAUCUUAGAUUAGUGUUAAUAUCCAUUUUGAGAACUAAUGCACUAUUUUUUAAUAAACAGACAAAGAAAAGGAGAAAUGUGAGAAUUUGAUGCUAUUUUGACAUAUGAAAUAAAAUAAAGGUACGAAUAUAACGCAUAAAGAUGUCCUAGUAUUUAUUGAAGUGGAGAAAGUGGAGUAAAGCAAGAACAAUCACAAAAGCAUAUCAAAUUGGUUUAAGGAGUAUUAAAAUUGAUUUGAGGUCAAACUAAUAACAAAAGAAAUGAAGUAACACAAACCAAUGCCCAAAAUUAAUAUUCCCAUUUCAAAACCAAUUCAGGAGGACAAUGAAGAUGCAUUAGUAGUAAUUCGCAUUCAAAUUCUGAUUUGUAAAGCUUUAAAUUAGUUUUGACGAUUCCACUUUAAAGAGAAAUUGGUUUCACUAGAGCUUCUUGCAAGUUUCCCAUUGAAAUUCAUAUUUGAGACUUUACUUUUGUAAUUAUGGUUUGUUAGAUAUUACUUUUGUUAAAGUGGCCAAUGAGGUUAAGUGACAUGUACUUUUAGGGUUAGAUUAUACAUACUUUUCAUUAAUGGGUUAAAAGGAGAGUGUAGUUUUAUAUUUGGAUUUUCAUGUUCAUAUGUUGAAGAUCUUUUGCUUUAUUUUCAAUAAUACCAUAGGUUCCUUAUUAUCUUAUGAAAUUUGUGUGAAAACUCAACCAUGAGAGGCUAUGAACCUUUCUUCUAGCAAUGUAGCAUAAAAGGUGGAGGAUUGGGACAAAGGGCAAUGAGUAUAGUAAGGCUACAUUGGUAGAUUAGGGUUUUGAUGUUUAUUUUGAGGUAAUGAGAUCCUUGGUAUAGUUUGGAUUGGGUGAAAUAUAGUAGAUGCUUGUUUAAGGUACUACUAAUACCUAGACACCGGGUAAUUAAGUCUAAUCCCAAAUAUAUAAGAUGAAUAAAUAAUUUGGAUAUAUGGACAAAUUUAGGUUUUGUCAGAUUUAGAGUCAUAGGAAAAGUCUUAUCAAUCUAUAAAAGUCAAUUAUGUCGAUAUCAGAGGAGGGUAUCCGAAUAUGACACGAUGUUCUUUUCUUCUCUAGUUUUUAUUAGCCAAAAUUUCUAUGGAAAUAAAGAAAUUUAUAGUAAAACAAAAAGUAUGAAUCAAGAAAAUGGUGUCAUCCCCAAUGACCAUGAAAAUAAGUUUAAAGUGAUUAUAUUAUUUUCAUAUAUCUACCCAAUUUCAUUUAUUUUAUUUUUUAUUUAAACAAUGAAAAUCUUUCAAAUAUAUAAAAUAUGUAAGUUUUUAAUUUUUUUUGGCAAGCCCAACCCACAUUGCCACCACCUUAAUCAUUGUUUUCUAGGGGGAAAAGCCCGUCUAAACAAGCCCAUAUCACCACAGUUUGGGCUCUACCUUUUGACCCCAUCUCGGAUGAGUAAUGCAUUUAAAGGCCUCCCUAUUCGUCGUCCGAUGUGGGAUUGGUGAUAUUAGUUUAAAGAAAAACAAUGAAAGAAAAUCCCACCAAGUUUAAGAGAUAAUAUGGGCACCACUCGCCCACACACUUUUUAAUGCUAAGCUUAGCAAACACAAAAAAAAUAUCAUUUUCUAAAAAAUUUUAUAAUAUUAAAUAAAAACAAUGUAAUAUUUUUAAAAAUCAAGUAAUUAAAUUUUCUCUAUUUUUAAUAUAUUCAAAUUUAAAUAUUAUACAUAUUUUAUUUAAAUAUAAUAUCACAUAUUCGAUGACUAAUUUAACUAGUUAGUUAUGAAUCAAUAAUUUUUUUGAUUUAAUAUUCCGAAUUUUAUUUUAUUUUUUUCUCCUACUAUACUCAUACAAUAAACACACGAUCAAUUAAAUAAUUUUUUAUACUUUGAUAUCAUUUAUUUAAACUUUGAUUUGAAAAUCAAUAAAUAAAUAAUAAUAAACCUAGAAUCUAGAACCUUCCAAAUGGAAGACAAAGUGGAGCAUGUUGUGGCAUUAUGCUCAAUUUUGAGAAGAAAUUCUGUAGAAGGCAGUUAGAUGCCUAAAUUCAACUUAAAGCAUCUUUUUAUUAAUUAUUAUCAUCCCCUCAACCCCCUCUCCACUCACUUUUACGAUUCGCCACCUCCACUCAUUUCGGUCUCCCGAUUUUUUACUUUCUGUUCAUUUUCUUACGUAAUAUUAAAAUUAUUCUUACACAUAAUAUAAAUUAUUUUCUUUAAAAAAAAAAUACAAUUUCCAGCGUAAAAAUAAAAGCCUUAAAGAAGUCUGUAUUACAAACCCGGCCCAAAAAGGGCAGUUUUCCGGACAAAUUAUUUGUCCAACACCAUUAUUGUUCAUAGUAUUAUUCGAGGAAGGAGAUGAUCCAAAAUCAAAAGUCAUCACCAUCGUAAUCUUCCAAGUCAUCACCAUCGAUCCUAUCUUCCACGUCAUCAGCAAUGUGAUCCUCCAAAGCAUCCACGCCCUCCGAUAUUGCCAGCCCACCCAAGACCCCUGCGACUGCGCCCACUGCCAGUCCCGUCCCCAUCCCCAUCCCUGACUUCUUCUGCGGCUGCUCCACCACCGUCUGUCCGUAUGGCCCCUGCGCGUAUGGCCCUUGUCCGUACGCCGGAUCUCCGUAUCUUGGCUGAGGCUGCCCAUAUGCCGGCUGUCUGUAGGGGUCUUGGCCGUAGGGUGGUGCAUUGGAGUAGUAAGGAUCAGGUGGGGGUGCGCCGUAUGGAGUGGCGUAAGCCGGGGAAGCCGCGUAGCCUGCGCCUCUGGUUCCCGCUGGCGGGGGCACGCCGUAAGGGGGUGAGUAGGCAGACCCAGGCGCACGGUAGCGCGGAUCUCUCACAGAGACCUUGACUUCCACCUUGCCAUGAGGGCGGCCAGAGGGGCGGCGGAGCUCGAGAGUGCGGAUGGCCUGGGCGCCGAAGCCGACGUCAUCGACGACGUCGCGGAGGAAGAGGCGAGCGGAGCCGACGACCGGCUUGGUGUCGUCUUCGUCAUCGGCUUUGAGAUGGACAACGUCGAGGUAGAGUGUGGAGUCUUCGAUCCGGGAGGGCACUGGAAUGAGUAGAGUCUCGUUCCAGCAAGGAAAGGUGUCGCCGUCGUUGUCGACUUUGGUGGAGAGCUUGGCCGCAGGAUCCACCCAAACCACGACGUAUGGCUUCAGAGAGCCGUGACGCCAGUUGACGUUCUUCAGAUCUUUGGCGGAGGAGAUAAUCAGCUCUAUCUCGUAGCGACCAGCCAUGGAAGGGGCAAUAAGGGAAAAAUAAUGGAGAAAAUGGUCGGACUGUCGAAUGGUUGCUAGUCGUGGGUCAAGUAUUUAUAGGCUUUAAUGUCCGCUUGUCCUUCGAAAAUCUUGUCCCUUUUACCGUUAUACCCUCCUACCCAUGUUUGAAAAAAAAAAAAAAAACAAAUAAGAAACAACUUCUCUGUAAGUCAAAAGACAACAUUUUUCUAAUUUUAAAAUUAAACUAUUUUUGAACGUUCGGUGAGAGGGUAUUUUGGUAAAAAAAUAUGACAGAGGAGCUCAACUGGGGAAGGGCAUAAUAGGGAAAAGACUAACUAGGGAAAGGGUUUGGGCCCCACGGAUUGCUUUCUCACUAAGCAUCGAGAUUGUCCUGAUGCUCUGUCUUUAUGCGCACUCGAUGGUUGCGGAAUUCUAUUGGUGUAACCGGAUAAUGCCGGUGUCAGAUGUCAAUUGAGAGGAGAUCGGCGUUGUCCACACGAGGAAUAUUCUCGCAUGACAGAGAAAGGUCUCGUAACGAGAUUGGUCCUACGCGGAAUAGACACGGCGUCACUUGGGCCGGACCUUGUCAAUUUUGUAUCUUUUAGGCCCAAAAAGUGGGCCACCAAGGCAGCCCAUGGGCUUGUUGCAAGCCCACUAUUGCCAUCUUUCAUCUACUUCACCAGGAAAAGUUCUUGAUUUCUCUUCCAAGGUGGAACCGUUGAACGUCCAUGAUUAUUUGUCAUGAUUAUAAAGCAAUAAAAAUUUUAAUUUAUUUACUUAUGAUGUUUUUAUUCAAUUUAUAUGAUCAUAAUGUUAUUAAGUCACUUCUUUUGUUAUAUGUUUCUUAAAAUCAUUUGAAAAUUCAAUUUCUAAAGUCUUAAAAAUAAAAUCACUAGUCUAUGGUCCAUGACUACUAAGUUUUUGCAUUUUGUAUAAAAAUUAUUGUCAAUUUUCUAUUUUAAAAACAAAAAGGCAUAAUCAAUUAGAUGAUAUCAUGUAUGUGCCUUCGAAUUUUAUUCAUUUAUACUUGAAUUUGGUUCGUUCUAUAUUCUUGAAUUUAGAAGUCCCAAAAGAUUCUUCCAAUAUAUCAUUUUCGGUCCAAUGGAAGAAUUUUAUUUUUUAUUUGUUCACUUUUAAAAAAUCGCAUUCCAUUCUUACUUGCAAUAGAAACCCAAAAGAUUCUUCCAAUAUAUCAUUUCUGGGUCUAAUGGAAGAAUUUUAUUUUUUAUUUGUUCACUUUUAAAAAAUCGUAUUUCAUUCUUACUUGCCAUAGAAAAUAUGGGAAAUUGGUUAUGGCCUCAACACGCUAUAUCUCCCCUAAAAAUUUAGUUAUUGUUUGGAUAUAUUUCUUGUAUUUUAUAUGUAGAAAUACAUUUUAUAUAAAAAGUAUGAACUUACCUUAUAUCCUUAAAAAAUAUUUUACAAUUAAACUUUGAAAACUAAGAAAGAUCAAAGGGAAACUAUUUUCUCAUGUUAAAAUAAAAAUAAAAUAACUCCGUUAAUUUGAAGAUGGUUCAUGAUCCUUGACAAUGACACCAUUUUCUUGAUUGAUACUUUUGGUUUUAAUAGAAAUUUCUUUAUUUUCAUAGAAAUUUUGGUCAAUAACAACUAAAAAGAAGAUAAGAAUAGUGUGUAAUAUUCAAAUAUCUUCCUUUGACAUCGGCAUAAUUGACUUUUUAUUCAAUUUAUAUGAUUAUAAUGUUAUUAAGUCACUUCUUUUGUUAUAUGUUUCUUAAAAUUAUUUGAAAAUUCAAUUUCUAAAGUCUUAAAAAUAAAAUCACUAGUCUAUGGUCUAUGACUACUAAGUUUUUGCAUUUCGUAUAAAAAUUAUUAUCAAUUUUCUAUUUUAAAAACAAAAAGACACCAUCAAUCAAAUGAUGUCAUGUAUGCGCCUUCGAAUUUUAAUCAUUUAUACUUGAAUUUGAUUUGUUUUAUAUUCUUGAAGUUGGAAGACCCAAAAGAUUCUUCCAAUAUAUCAUUUCCGGGUCUAAUGGUAGAAUUUUAUUUUUUAUUUGUUCAUUUUUAAAAAAUCAUAUUCCAUUCUUACUUGCCAUAGAAAAUAUGGGAAAUUGGUUACCGCCUCAACACGCUACAUCUCCCCUAAAAAUUUAGUUAUUGUUUGGAUAUAUUUCUUGUAUUUUACACGUAGAAAUAACUUUUAUAAUAACUUUGAUAUAAAAAGUAUGAAUAUACCGUAUAUCCUUAAAAAAUAUUUUGUAAUUAAACUUUGAAAACUAAGAAAGAUCAAAGGAAAACUAAUUUCUCAUGUUAAAAUAAAAACAAAAUAACUCUGUUAAUUUGAAGAUAUUUCAUGAUUCUUGACGAUGACACCAUUUUCUUGAUUGAUACUUUUGGUUUUAAUAGAAAUUUCUUUAUUUUCAUAGAAAUUUUGGUCAAUAACAACUAAAGAGAAUAUAAGAAUAGUGUGUAAUAUUCAAAUAUCUUCCUCUAACAUCGGCAUAAUUGACUUUUUAUAGAUUGACUAAAGUUAGCUUUAAAUCCGAUGAAACCUAAAUGUGUCCAUACAUCCAAAUUAUUUAUUCAUCUUAUAAAUUUAGGUUUAGACUUAAUUAGAAUAGAUCAAAUCAAGUUAACUAAUGAUUAAGUGGUGUCUAGAUAUUGGUAGUAUAUUCACAAACAUCUAUUUUAUUUCACCUAAUCCAGACUACACCAAGGAUCUCAUUAAUUAUCUCAAAAUAAACAUCAAAACCCUAAUCUUCCAAUCUAGUCUUAUUGUACUCAUUGCUUCUUCUUGUCCCAAUCCUCCACCAUCAUGCUACACCACCAUAAGAAAGGUUCAUAGCCUCUAAUGGCUAAGUUUUAACACAAUUUUCAUAAGAGAGUAAGAAAUCGACGAUAUUAUUGAAAAGAAAGCAAAAAGUCUCCAAUAUAUGACCGUGAAAAUCCAAAUGUAAAACUACCUUCUCCUUUUAAUUUAAUGAUGAAAUAUAUAUAUAAUCUAACCCUAAAAAGACAUGUGACCUCAAGGAUGAAAAUAUUGGUUUUUAUAGAUAUAUCGACAACUCAAUUUUAUAGAGAUAUAAGAAAAUAUCGAUGAAUAUUUUGACUCAAAAUAUCAAUAGGACAAAAAUCGAUGAAAACUAGUAAACAUGUUGAAAAAAACUCUAAAAAUGAUAUAAUAAACAAUAAUAAAUAUUUUAAAGUUUUUUUAUCAAAGAAAAUGAUAUUAUACAAUAUAAUUUAUCAUAUUUGAUAAUAAUAUCGUAUAUGUCGAUAACAAAUAUGAAUUUUAUAAGUGUACAUUUAUCAUUAAAUUACAUCAAAUAUUAUUCAAUAAUAAUAUUAUAAUAUUUUAUUAUAAUAUGUUUAAUUUUAAAUAUUUAAUAUUAAAUUUAUGAUUCAUUUAAUUCAAUUGUAUUAAAUAAUAUAAAAUAAAUGAUGAUAUAUAUAUAUAUAUAUAUAUAUAUAUAUAUAUAUAUAUAUAUAUAAUUUUUUAAUAUUUAAUUAAUAUAUUAAUGAUAAUUUUUAUAUUUUUGGUAAUUAAUCAAAUGAAAAAUUUUCAUUUAAUUAUAAUUAAUUUGUUCUUUAAAAUAUUCCUUUAAUGUUUUGUUUAUAUGAUAACUUUAUAUAUAUAUAUAUAUAUACUUGGUGCACUAUGUUUAAAAAAGACAUAUAUAUCAUAUGAUUCAAAAAGGUUAAUAGACGAAGCUAUCUCUUUCUCUAAAUUUAUAGAAAUCCUUUCCAAUCAAUCUGAAUUUGAGAUUAGUUUUAUUUUUUUCCCAAUUUAAUUUAAUGAUUUUCUUGGUGUUAAUUCCAGGCAAAUGCUGUGAGGGCAUAUCGUCCUCAGUGGACGUGCAGGAAAAAGGACAUAUACCCACAGUUCUAUGAGGACGCCAAGGUGUACUGCAAUGGUGAACUGGUGAUGACCACUGGUGGGACUCAGAAGGAGUAUGUGGUCGAUGUCUGGUCUGGAAACCACCCCUUCUACCUCGGGAACCGCUCCGCUCUUCUAGUGGACGCUGAUCAAGUCGAGAAGUUCCGGAAGAAGUUUGGGGAAAUAUCACAGAUUAUGGAAAUUCCUGUCCUCAAAUAUGGAGAAAUCGUGCUACCACCUAAACGCAAAUCUGGUUCUGGUAAAGGGGGAAAGAAGAAGUAGUUGCCCAAUUUCACGGUAAAAAGAAAUAGCCUCUGUUUGGUUGCAAGGAAAAAAAUUGGAAGCAAGUUAUGAAUCUUAUCUGUUUAUUUUCUUACUUUUCUCAGCUUCCAAAUAGGGCAAUUAGGGUUUUGGUUUUCUGUUUAUUGGACAGUGUAAUUUGAUUACUUGUUAUAAAUUUUUUAAAGUAAUCCCUAUUUCGUGUUCAGUGGUAUGUCUUAAUUUUUUUUCUUUUUGAUUAUUAUUAAUUUUAAUUGUAUAUUUUAUUAAAUACUUUAAAAUGUCCUAUAGUCCAAAAGAAUAGUUUUGUCUAGAACCAUGUUCACUGAUUGUGAUGCACUAAGUAAAUAUCAGUCAGCUUACUCUGGGAAACCCCAUUGAGAUUCUGCAGUUCCCAGAACAACAAUAAUAUAAGUAAAUAUCGUUCUAUAUUCUUGAACUUAGAAGACCCAAAAGAUUCUUCCAAUAUAUCAUUUCCGGGUCCAGUGGAAGAAUUUUAUUUUUUAUUUGUUCACUUUAAAAAAAUCGCAUUCCAUUCUUGCAAUAGAAACCCAAAAGAUUCUUCCAAUAUAUCAUUUCCGGGUCCAAUGGAAGAAUUUUAUUUUUUAUUUGUUCACUUUUAAAAAAUCGUAUUCCAUUCUUACUUGCCAUAAAAAAUAUGGGAAAUUGGUUAUGGCCUCAACACGCUAUAUCUCCUCUAAAAAUUUAGUUAUUGUUUGGAUAUAUUUCUUGUAUUUUAUAUGUAGAAAUACAUUUUAUAUAAAAAAUAUGAACUUACCUUAUAUCCUUAAAAAAUAUUUUACAAUUAAACUUUGAAAACUAAGAAAGAUCAAAGGGAAACUAUUUUCUCAUGUUAAAAUAAAAAUAAAAUAACUCUGUUAAUUUGAAGAUGGUUCAUGAUCCUUGACAAUGACACCAUUUUCUUGAUUGAUACUUGUAGACCCCCUUGUUGGCAGGGAGAGGGAGGGGGAAAAUAUUAUUUUUUUUAGGAGAGUGGGUGAGAUUGGAAGUGAUGGAGAGGACGGGAAGUAGCGGGAGAUUUGAGGGGGAAGAAAUCUGGAAAAAGAGAAAAGGAAAGGGGGGAAGAUUUUUUUUGAGGGUUUUUGAGGCUGGCGAUUAAGGAUUGGAGGUUUUGGAAAAGAAGAGAUUUUUUCAGAGGAAGAGAGUAGAGGUCCGGAUUUUUAGAAAGAAAAAAACCAAAGCUGAAAGGGGAGAGGGUGAUAUCUGGAGAGGAGAAAAACAAAGAAAAUGGAGAUAGAGACAGUCUGAAGGAGACGGAAAAAAAGCUGUGCUUGGGAGGAGCCUUUCAGGUAAGAUUUUUUUUGUAAACUUCACAUCUCUUUUUCUCUCUUAGGUACAGUCUUCGAUCUUCAUGCUCACUGUGGGGAUGAGGAAUUCGUUGUUUUUUUGUAGAGAGAGAAAAGAAUUGGGCGGCUGGGGGAUUAUAAGACAGUGGGAUGCUUUUUAAAAGUUUUUAAUUCAAAUUGUUUUUUUCUAGCAAGGCAUUUGGGUUCGUGCCUAUUUUUUUACUUUGAGUAAAGCUCUCAAAGCCAUUUAUAUAUAUUUUUUUAUUAUUCCUUUCUUGCAUGGAAAUCAUAACAUGGCAGAAGACUUUUUGGUGGGCUUGAAUAUUUAUGUCCAUUUUUCUUUCUUUUGCUUUUUGGCGAACACGUUUUCACAAAUUGAAUUCUCAAAACAACUUUCAAAAUUUCAGUUUUUUUAAUCACUUCAAUCUUCAAAUUAAUUUUUCAAAAAUUCUAAUAUCCAAAUUUAAUUUCUAAAAUGUCAUCUUAAAAUAAAUCUUUCAAACAAAUUCUGAUUUCCAAAUUCAAUUCCCAAUUUCUGAAAUUCUAAUUUUUCGACUUUCAAAUUUAAUUUUCAAUUUCCAAAAUUUUAAUAUUCACAUUCAUUUAUUUAAUCAUUACUAUUUUUUGUUAUGAUUAUUAUUAUUCUAUUUACUUAUUUAUCUUAAAAUUCCAUUCUUAAACAUUUUUUCUCAAAAUUUCAAUUUUUGAACUUAAUUUUUAAUUCCCAAAAUUCCAAUUCUUAAAUUUAAUUCCCAAAAUUCCAAUUUUCAAAUUUAAUUCCCAAAACUCCAAUUUUCAAAUAAAUUCCAAAAAUCCAAUUUUCACGUGAACAAUUUUAAUUCUAUUCCGGUUCUCAAUUUUUCUUGGUUUUACAUAAGCAUGAAUGUCAUUUUCAUAAUUUCAGAACAAUGGAAUUUGUGAGAUUAAUUCGUGCAAGAUCAAUCGGGCUUUGGUGGGGGCCCCACAUACGUGAUUUUAUGAUUGAUUGAUUUGUUUGUCACGCACAAUUUAUUUAUCCUGCUCUCCGACAUGCAUGCUAUUAUUUCUUAAUUAUGCACUAACCUCUCUCUUGAUAGCGCAUGGUGGCUCGUCGCCCAGGUACGCACUUACUUUCACUCUGGUAAUUGUCCAAGCAUAUUUUGAUUCUCACGUGUGCAUGAUUUAUUCUGGGUACUCAUUGAUCUACUCGUCCACUGCCCUGAUUGUUUCAUUUUAUUAGUAGAGACCCGUUUUUAGGGACUUAAAAGGGUGCUACGGUUUUUACCGUACCUUCCUGAUAAGUAACCUGACCCCCGAACCCGAUCCGGUUUUUUGUAGAUCACCUUUUCCAAAUAAGGAGUCACACUUAGGGUUUUUCUUUCUUAUUUUGUUUACCCUUUUAAAAAUAAAACAAAAAUAAGUGGCGACUCCAAGUCAUUUUUCCUAAUCAAUAAAAUCAAUUUUUCAAAUAAAAGUCGAGCUCGCCAUCGAAUGGGAAACGCAUUGAGCCGAAAUGCGGGGUCCACAAUACUUUUGGUUUUAAUAGAAAUAAAAUUAUAACUCUGUUAUAAGUGUACAUUUAUUAUUAAAUUACAUCAAAUAUUAUUCAACAAUAAUAUUAUGAUAUUUGAUUAUAAUAUGUUUAAUUUUAAAUAUUUAAUAUUAAAUUUAUGAUUCAUUUAAUUCAAUUGUAUUAAAUAAUAUAAAAUAAAUGAUGAUAUAUAUAUAUAUAAUUUUUUAAUAUUUAAUUAAUAUAUUAAUGAUAAUUUUUAUAUUUUUGGUAAUCAAUCAAAUGAAAAAUUUUCAUUUAAUUAUAAUUAAUUUGUUCUUUAAAAUAUUCCUUUAAUGUUUUGUUUAUAUGAUAACUUUAUAUAUAUAUAUAUACUUGGUGCACUAUGUUUAAAAAAGGGUGAGCUUGGCCCAAUGGCUGGAUAAGGCAUCUUUAUGCGUAAUAUUCAUACCUUUACUUAAUCUCAUAUGUCAUAAUUGAGUCAAAUUCUCACAUUUUCUACUUCUUUUUUUUUUUGGGUCUUUUUAUUAAAAAAUAGUGCAUUAGUUCUCAAGUAUUUAUAGCACAAUCAUUAGUAUCUUUACAAAUAUAUAUUUAAUACAACUCAAUUAUUAAUGCAAAAGAGUUGAGAUUAAACCUAGUGGACCUUGAUUAAGUCAAAUAAGAGUACAUAAUUGCCAUAUUUGAAUCCUUAAGAGGUCGAAUCAAAAGAUUAUACAUUAUUUAAUUUAAUAAUAAUAAUAACUAUAAAAAAAUAUUUUAAGAAUAAAAAAACCAAUAUUGAUAAUUAUUAAAAAAGUAAAUUUUGGUCAAGUUAUAAGUUCAAUGCAUAUGUGUCGUGCUAGAGUUUUAUGACAAACAUAACUCGAGGCACCGACCAUGCCAUAUUUAUUUCUAUAUUAAUACAUUAUUAUCAAUGAAUUAAAAUUUAGGUGUGUUCUUAUUGUCAAUGAUUCUUACAAUAAAGCCGACAAGUCUCAUAUACAAAAAUAAGAGGCGUCUUCUAUGGUUGGGUUGUAUGGGGUAUGGGAGAAAAAGGCAAACCAAUGAGAAAAUUUGAAUAUCUUAUAGUUCUAGUUUCCCAAUGAAAAUUGGCGACCUAACCUUCCUCCCUUCCUCCGUCGAGUCCAGCGACCUCUUCUCUUCCUCCGCCACAAAGUCCUGCCUGAUUUGGCAGAUGGGCAUCGAUAAUCGGUUGUGCGCUGGAAAUCAGCACCAUGGAUCAGCAAAGCUUGGCAGACUGUAAACUCAAAAAUCCUUUACAUAUAUAGCUGAGGCAUGUUUGAUCAACUGGCCCAAGGGUGUCUUAUUUCUCAGGUUCCCUUUACCAAUACAGGUCAAAAUCAAGAAGGAUUAGCCCACCUUGACAUUAUAAUGUUGCAUGGAAAAAGUUUCCCGAGAAACCCAAGAAACUUUGAAAGUUCUAGAAUAACGGGUUGAAGAAUCUUAUAAUUCACCAUAUUUUCUUUUUCUUUUUUGGUAUUUUUAAUUAUAUAAAAAAAGAAUAAUAAAUAUCAUAAAAAUAAAUAUUAAUUAUUAAAUUAAGAAAAUCAAAUAUUAUUAAUAUUUUAUUUUUAUUAAGGAAACAAAUAUUAUUUUUUUAUUUAUGAUUUAUGAAAAUAUUGAUUCUACCAUCAUCUACACUAAAGUGCUUAACCCACGACAAUCUCCUCAUUGGCGUGCUCAAAGUUCCUGCAAAUGUUUCUUUACCGAAGAAAUGUGAAGGAAAAUAAAAUAAAAUAAAAUAAAAUCACAUAAAAAAUAUCAUGAAAUCCAUAAUAUACUAUAUUUUAUAAAUAUAAAAAUAAAAUAUGGUUCUUAUAUAUUUCCAAGUCUAUUUCAAUCAAAGUGUUAUUUUAAACAAAAGUUCAAAGGACUAGCAUUGAAAGACAAAAUAUGAAAAACAACCAUCGCUUCUAUUAUGCCUACUUUUAAUAGAAAAAAUGUAAAUGUUUAUGACUUAUUAGGCUCCAAGCCAAUAAUUCAUUAGUCAAGAUCUCAUUUCGAUACAUCAUUUAAGUGUAAUCUCUUACUAAAUAAUUUGUGAGGGUCAUUUAAUUCAACUUUUGUUGAAGCAAGAUAGAAGCCGAUAUUGAAUAUGCUAUGAGACAUAAGGGAUAAGAACAACGAAUGCAAGGAGGACUUGUAAGAAUAAGUGGGAGAUGUUGUUGUGCCCUAAUAUUUAUAAGAUUUUGGAGAAUGAUAAGAUUAAGGCAAAUAGUUGAAUACCUAUUUGGGUUUGUGAUUUAAAGUUUGAAAUCAAUUGCAUAUGUAGUGAUAGAUAUGUUAUUGAUAUUGUCAAUCAAACAUGCAAAUGCAUAAAUGAGACUUAACCGGUAUCCCUUGUUCAUAUGCAAUUUUAACUAUAUUUGUAGAAGAGAAAUAAUAAGUUUUAAGUUAUCUUUAAAAAUUACUAGACUCGUUAAUGAAUCAAACACAUUAACUCUUACUUAAUGUUUAUUUGUUUACUUAAAAAAAUUGUAAAAGUAUGAUAUAUAUAUAUAUAAAAUAAAUUAACCUAGCCAUUUAAAAUAAAUUUUGAUUUAAGACUUUUUCGUGUUUUUGAGUUUUAUGACUUUUUAGUUUAAUUAAAUCAAUUUUUGAGUUUAAAUAUUUUUUAAAAAAUAAUAAAUUUAUUUGUUUAAUAAAAAAUAUUAAAGAAGUUAAAGGAAAUUCAGAAAAGCAAAUCAUAUUUGAAAAUUUUCAAUACUUGUACAGUGCGGAGAGAAAGUGAGAGAACAGUAUAUUCUGUUCAAUUUUAUGAAAAAUAAAACACCAGUCCAACACCUAAACCUCCAUUAGAAACUCCUUAUCCUUCUCCAACCUUUCCAUUGUACCAGCCUCCAACGUUAUCUCAACGUCAAUGCUUCCUCCCCCGGUCUUCCCCUGAUACAAAUACACCAUUCCGUCAAAUUUGUUGUUCGAUCCACUUCUCACCCUCUCCGGCUUCCCAAACCCAAAGUCCACGUCGUACACCUUGAACCUCGGCGAGCUUCCCACCGUAACGCAGUUCACUCCGGCGUCUUUGAACUGGAAUAUUAUUGGGUUGCUCUCCCACUUAUCGUUGCGUUCGUUGAUGGCUUUCGCGUCGUUCGUUACGAUCGCUUUUUGAAUCAUUGCCGCCGCGAACUCCGGCGGGUUUGCGUAGAGGAGUCCGGCUGCGGUGACGGUGAAGAUGGCUUGAAUCAGGUUGCCGAAGUAGGACUCCGGCAUGGGAGGGUCGACCCUCUUGCGGCAGUUGGCGAAGACGGUGUAGACGGUGACGUCCUCGGGUUUGAGUUGGCGAGCGCGUGUCACCGCGAGCCACACGUGCGUGGAGAGCGAUUGGAAGGAGGAGAAGGGUCUGGAGCCGUCAGAUGGGGUUUUGUUGAGCGUUGACUUGACCCGGUUGAUUUGAGAUUCCGAGAAUCGGAAGAUGCGCUCGCGGAGAAGCGGCGGCGGCUCCGACGUGCCGCUUGGAUUGGCGGCUGUGGGGUCGAGGGGGAGGUCGAACUUCACGCGCGUUUUGCGCGCUUUGGUGCGGUCGAGGAACGGUGGGACGGAGAUGGAGUCGGCUCCACUGCAGAUUUCGGCCCACGAGCUCAUGAAGUGCCACGUGGAGGUACCGUCGAGGACAGCGUGGUUGAACGCGCAUCCCAUUGCGAGGCCAUCUCUUAGCUUGGUGAACUGCGGAUCAUGACAGAAAAACA
rnacentral:lncRNA from 1 species